ACUUUCGAAAAACACACUUAGGGAAGGAAGAAGGGAAAUUAUCUUAGUCUUCUAUUGUGAUCCAAGAACACCCUAGGCAAUUCCUCAACUCCAAGAACUCUACUCUAGGGACUUUGAAUUCAAGGAAAAGAUCUAACACUUCUUCGGUUUUAAAAUCUUCCAUCAAGAUGCAGUCUAGCGUGGACCCCUGUGGCCGAUGAGCUCUAA